CCUACGGGAGGCAGCAGUGAGGAAUAUUGGUCAAUGGACGAGAGUCUGAACCAGCCAAGUAGCGUGAAGGAUGACUGCCCUAUUGGUUGUAAACUUCUUUUAUAUGGGAAUAAAAUGUUCCACGUGUGGGAUUUUGUAUGUACCAUAUGAAUAAGGAUCGGCUAACUCCGUGCCAGCAGCCGCGGUAAUACGGUGGGUCCGAGCGUUAUCCGGAUUUGGUGGGUUUAAAGGGAGCGUAGGUGGAUUGUUAAGUCAGUUGUGAAAGUUUGCGGCUCAACCGUAAAAUUGCAGUUGAAACUGGCAGUCUUGAGUACAGUAGAGGUGGGCGGAAUUCGUGGUGUAGCGGUGAAAUGCUUAGAUAUCACGAAGAACUCCGAUUGCGAAGGCAGUGCACUGGACUGCAACUGACACUGAGGCUCGAAAGUGUGGGUAGCAAACAGGAUUAGAUACCCGAGUAGUC
rnacentral:rRNA from 1 species